AACGAACGCUGGCGGCAGGCCUAACACAUGCAAGUCGAGCGAGACCUUCGGGUCUAGCGGCGGACGGGUGAGUAACGCGUGGGAACGUGCCCUUUAGUUCGGAAUAGCCCCGGGAAACUGGGAGUAAUACCGGAUAAGCCCUACGGGGGAAAGAUUUAUCGCCAAAGGAUCGGCCCGCGUUGGAUUAGGUAGUUGGUGGGGUAAUGGCCUACCAAGCCGACGAUCCAUAGCUGGUUUGAGAGGAUGAUCAGCCACACUGGGACUGAGACACGGCCCAGACUCCUACGGGAGGCAGCAGUGGGGAAUCUUAGACAAUGGGGGAAACCCUGAUCUAGCCAUGCCGCGUGAGCGAUGGAGGCCUUAGGGUUGUAAAGCUCUUUCAGUGGGGAAGAUAAUGACUGUACCCACAGAAGAAGCCCCGGCUAACUCCGUGCCAGCAGCGGCAGUAAAAC
rnacentral:rRNA from 1 species